AAAUAAAAUGCUCCCCAGGGCGCAGCUUGAUACGACCGCAGAGGUCGAACCCUGAACAGUUGGGGCAAGUAUGGACACAACAUUCAAGCUUGAUACAGCUCUGAAUUUGGAUUGUGAUUAAAUAUUUGACACAGCAUAGGUUUCUGACACAGAAUGAAUGUGGUCUAAGAACUUAAAAAUUUUAAAUUGGACAUUCACCUUUUAUGGUCCAAUAUCCAAAAUCUAAAUACAUGGUUAGAUUCAGCAUAUCAAAGAACCCCAAGAAUUCAUUUUUUUAUGAAAUCAAACAAAGUUUAAUUUUGGACCCUUUUGACCUCAAUGUGGACAAAGUUGAUAACAGGGCCCAAAAAUCAAAAAUCUAAAUACAUGGUUAGAUUCAGCAUAUCAAAGAACCCCAUAUAUUCAAUUUUUGUUGAAAUCAAACAAAAGUUUAAUUUUGGACCCCGAUUUGGACCAACUUGAAAACUGGG